rnacentral:rRNA from 1 species
GACGAACGCUGGCGGCGUGCCUAAUACAUGCCAGUAGAACGCUGAAGGAGGAGCUUGCUUCUCUGGAUGAGUUGCGAACGGGUGAGUAACGCGUAGGUAACCUGCCUGGUAGCGGGGGAUAACUAUUGGAAACGAUAGCUAAUACCGCAUAAGAGUAGAUGUUGCAUGACAUUUGCUUAAAAGGUGCAAUUGCAUCACUACCAGAUGGACCUGCGUUGUAUUAGCUAGUUGGUGGGGUAACAGCUCACCAAGGCGACGAUACAUAGCCGACCUGAGAGGGUGAUCGGCCACACUGGGACUGAGACACGGCCCAGACUCCUACGGGAGGCAGCAGUAGGGAAUCUUCGGCAAUGGACGGAAGUCUGACCGAGCAACGCCGCGUGAGUGAAGAAGGUUUUCGGAUCGUAAAGCUCUGUUGUAAGAGAAGAACGAGUGUGAGAGUGGAAAGUUCACACUGUGACGGUAUCUUACCAGAAAGGGACGGCUAACUACGUG